GAAAAACAAAAACCAUCAAUAUGACGUUCACUAAUUUGAUAACCAGACGUUUAAGAUCACAUACAAAUUCAACCCCGUUAAAGAAUCGCAGCUUGAAAAACCGAAAGAAAUGCUUACAACCCUCCAAAUGAUUAAGACCCAAUUCUUCUUGACCCUUCACAAACAGUACGUUUUGCUAUUUAUAAAGCUAAACGCGAAAAGGAAAAAAAGAGGACCUAAUCCUCAUGGCUCAAAACACUAGCGAAAGCUGCAGUAACUCAAAAAAUGGUUUCAGCUAGCCACACUCAAAACACCCACCCCUCCAUAAGCUUACGCUAGAGAAGCAGAAUCAAAACACAAACAAAAUCGUGUUCUUCAAGGGGAUUGAAAAAUAAAAAAUAAAAAAAGUUACCCAAUUUGGAGAAAAUUAUGAGGGUUUAAUCUCUCAAGUUGAACAUCAUAAAUAAAGAAAACAGGCAAGAAAAUUCAAAGUAAAAUUACUUCAUCUAAAGUCAAUAAUGAACAAACAGAGUUCACAGACCUAAGCAAAAAGAUGAAAAAUAGAUAGAAAUUUUCUCAGCUUUCAGCACUCACUUGUUCACACCAACCCCACCAAACCAAAACCACUUGAAAGGAAAAAAUUAAAAAAAAAAAAUCAG
rnacentral:misc_RNA from 1 species